UUUUUUUUUUUUUUUUGGUAAAGUGAGAAGCAGAAAACAGAAGGGAGGUGAUGUGCAUUAAUAGAGUUAAAAUGUAUUUCACAAAAGGCAGUAACAACUUAUUUAAAUGUUUCUUGCAGCUCCUAGUAUUUAAAGACAUGAUCCAUUUUGGACAGUUUUGAGUAGAUUUUAAGCAGAACUAUAUUUUGCUUUAGUAGAUCAUAUAGCAUUAAAUAUUUAUUUCAUAGUUUGUAGUAUUUUAAUACUAUGUUUUUAUUUAAUGUAUACAAACAAUAAUAUUUAAAGAAGUAUUACUCUAUUAAUUCCCUUCUUGUAAGCAGUGGCAGAGCUGUAUGGUUCACUAAUUCAACAAACAGCACAGUUUAAUGUAACUUUUAAUUUUAGUAUUUUUCCCCUCUUUUCUCUCUUUACAGCCAUAUAUUUUGCAUAGAUUUAAUAUAUAGCAGUGUAUCCACUGUAGAUCUGUCAGUGAAGGCAAGGCCAAGCAACUAUGACUUAGAAAUAAAGGCAGUUUGUUGUUAUCUGUAGGAGUAUGUUUCACGCUGUGGAUUCAUUCUUCUUUCCCCCCAAAAUUCUGGCAUCUGUAUCUUUGCAAUAGAUAAUCACUGUAUUUGAGGAACAGAUUUAUAAAGGUAUAUUGCUCACCUUAGGGUAAUAGCAAUGUUAGAUGUAGUUUAGAUUCAAGCUAUGGAGUGCCUUCUAGAUGAGGGCAGAGACCUUGCCUCUGAAUCUUGUUUCCCCUGGGAAGCCAGCAUAGAAAUGGAGGAUGGGUACAACAGCCUCACGUAACCAAGUUGAAUUAGACUGAUGUUACACUGAUGUUACAAGUCUUGAUGUUACACGAAGCAUAUUGUCUCAGCAUAUUGUAUACAGGUAAGCAUCAGGGGCUGCACCAAGGGGACUUGUAAGACCAGGGUAAAGUGGCCACUGGUAGAGAAUGGCGUCCUCUUCUUUUAGGGGACAGAGCAUGCUGCACUCUUAAAUCCAUGCCAUUUCCUCAUGGCUGCAUGGACAGCCAUGGUCACCGGGGUCAGACUUUUCUUAAUGUCACCCUUACACGUGAGGAGCCUGUAGCUUGAUGACAUCUUCCAGCAUGAGUCUUCUGUGUAUCCCCUGGAAGGUACUAAGUCACCACAACACACUCCCCAUGUUCCCAUUAACUCCUCUAGUUAGUUAUCUUCCAUAACUUGUCAGCCAUAGCUAAUGAUGUAAUAGAUGCCAGGAGAAAUGGAUAUCAGUCCGAAGCCCACAGAAGACAAUUAUUAAUCCAUCAGACCCACUGAAAUUCCUGUCAGCAUUCUGCUCUGAAUCCAUAUUAAACCAGGAUCAGGAUAUCUACUGUAGCUGGAAACAUUAGAGAUAUUUUUCUAAUUCAAUUCAGAAACCUAAGACCAUAAAUAGGUUUUCUAUUUAUUCGUUCCAUGUUUUAAAGCUUGUAGUACAAUUGCAAGUUGGAGGAAAAGGGCAGGGGGAAGGUGGGCUAUAGAUUUUGUAUGUGUGUGUGUUUUAACUGAAGUAACUUGAACCCAGACAGAUCAAUGAAUCGCUUUGCUCUAAAAGCAACCAAAAUAGUUAAGGAGCAAACCCUAGGAGAUCUUUGUUAGAAUAUCUGUUAUUUCCCACUGCCUUGCAGUGUGUGAGUGAGAGGGGAGCCAGGUGUGUGCUGGCUGAAUCUGGAGGAAUUCAUUUUAAUGAAACAGUCAUAGCAGGCUAACUACGACAAAAUGGCCUGACACUCCCCCUUACUCUCAAUAAAUAAUUAUUAAUAACUGACUAGUUAAUUCAAGUGGAUAUGCAAUCUUAUGCGACCUAAGAUGGCUCAAAGCAGUUAUCAUAAAUAACAAUGGUUUCUUUCCUAUUCUGCUAGUUCAUGUGUUGUGCACACAUUUUUGCCAGUAAACGUACUUAAAAGUCACACAUCUAAUAACAAUGCCAUCUAGUAACAAUGCCAAGAAAAGAUUUUUAUAUUUGAUUUUUUUUAAGACACCCUACAAUGGCCAUUUCAGGGCUUUCAUCCUUUCUCCCUUUUCUAGUGAAAUGGUAACUUAGACCUUUUAUUUAUUCUUGCAGAUUAGAACAGAAUGCAAAGUUAAAGCAAAGAUAAAUGUUAUGUUGCACUUGUUAAAAUCUGUUGGACUACCAUGUAAACAGAAAUAACUAAAUGUCUGCAUCUUCUCUUUUCAUCUUCUACAAGCAACUGCAAUUGGCAGAGGUUGUUUGUUGCACUUUUUAGCAGUCUUUGGAGAGCUUAAAGAGAACAGUGAUAUUUCAGAAGUGCUGACUGAAAAAUAAUACAGGGUUUCAGUUGCCUACUAAUUUGUAUCUUUGGUUUUUCUAAUUCUUCUCCUUAUAAUUUGCACAGCAUGGUAGGUUUUGAGACUUCAAUUUCAACACCAAUUGCAGUAACAGCUUUCUCUCUUUGACUGGUCAUAAUGCUGAAGAAAGGGAAACAUUUUUCCUUUAACCUGAAGGAAGAUGAAGUCCUUCUUAUAAACUAAAUGCCACAGAAUUAUAGGAAGGAUCCUCAAAGGUUAUCAAGUCCAACUCCUGUCUCCAUGCAGAACCACUCAAAAAUGCCUAAGAGCACUGCCAGAUACAGAACAUAUGCUUUUAACUGAGAAAGAGAGACAUAGGUUGGGCCGCUGCAAUAUUUAGACAUUUGCAAGAAUUAAGAUUUACAUUUGCAAAUAUUUAUCUAUUAUGUUAAUAAAAGAGAAAGCAUUCUCCUUUCUCCUGGAUUGUCAGUCUGUUCUUGUUAACAGACAGCGUGCAGUAAACACAAGCAUGGAGCAGCUUCAGAGAAAACAGCCUUUUUUACUCUCAGUACGGCCAACCCUUCAUUUCCUUCUUGUUUUUUAUAGCGCGUAUUGUAUUUCCAGACAGAUCUUGAAAGGAGUUAAUAGCAAUUACUCAAAAGAAAAAGACAUAGCCCUCCCUUCCCUUGGAAAUCCAGAGCAAAUGAGAAUUAGUUAUCUGAAGAAUAAAAGCAAUGCGCGGUUAUUUAGUUUAAUUUCUUCUUUUUCUGGUGGAAGGUGGAUCCUGAAGAUCUCAGCUGGGUGACAUUUUUCUUUGCAUUCAGGAAAAAAAAACAGUGAAGAGACCGACAGUAAGGCAGCUGUCAGCGAUGCCCAGCAAAACUAAUGGUGUUCCUGGAAAGCCCUGCGUAACGCUGCACACUGGAGCGUGCCACCUACUGGCAUGUUUUCCUUUUGGUUAUACUUGCCCUGCAAGUGGGAAGCAGUCUCAUGGUGAUUUUUAAUUCUUGAGCUCCUAAAACUGUUUAAAAUGAGCCUAUCAGACCUGAUUGGCCCUAUGGAGUGUUGUCUUCAGACUUUUCGGCUUAUCUUUUCUGCGGGAAAUUUUAUAAUCAAAUUCCUACUAUGCGUGACAUAUCUAUUAUUUAAUAGGCAAUUAUCUAAUUACAAAUUAUAAAAUGAUUGUAUUAUGUUCCAUUAGUGGUUUCUAAUGGAAAUAAAAGCUAGAACAUGCAGCCGAUGAAGGUCAGUUAACAUACUGAGUAUGACAAUUAAAACCAUAAUCAAUAGGCAACCAUUGCCGUCUGUGGUUUGCAGUUCUGUGCUGAUGAGCUCUACGUGUCCACGCAAUAUUCCGAAUUGAUUUUUCACUUUUUUACACCAAAUAGGCCACUAGAAUAUUCCAUACACCCUCUGACGUUUAGCAAAGCUGUUUAUGCCACCAUUUCGAUUGUGUUUCCUGCAAAGCAUUCAAUGUUUUACGGAGGCUGGGAGACCUCUUUGGUUUAUGAAGUUUGAGCUCAGCAUAUUUGCUGGCUUGGCAACACUGUGAUCAUCCACUUUGUCUUCUACUUUUCACAUGUGCUUGUACCUAUCACUGAGGAGUAUCUAUCAUUUUAGUGUCAAGCUAGGUGAAUCAAAAGCCGUCUGGGACUGCCAUUCAGCAAUACAAAUUAUCUUAAAGAUAUGAAAGCCUUUUAAUUCUAUGAAGGCUUUAUGGUAAUGGAUUAAGGCAUACAGAUAAAGGUAAAACUUUUAAAGAUACAUAGGUUAACUAUGCCAACAUUGUGAAGAAAUGCAUCAUUGCUGAUGUUAGAAAAAGUAUUGAUUAU
ensembl:lncRNA